rnacentral:misc_RNA from 1 species
UGAAAAUGCCAGUGAAUGAAAAACCACAAUAAACUAAAACAAGUUUGGAUCACAUAUAUUUUAGGAGUAUAUUUUCAACAAAGUAACUGAAAUCAUUAUUACUAAAUUAUAUUUUUCAAAAGGAUAAAGAAAAUGUUAUUCUCUCAAUAGUGGCAAAUUAGAUAUCACUAUGCACAAACCACUUGAACGGUUGGACCAAAAAAAUAAAAGAAACUGCUUCCUCAUUUUGUGAUAUUGCAAUUUUCCGUUAAUAUUUUACCAUUAGGAAAAGAACUGAUAGCAUGCCCACACAAAUAUAGGAACUCAAUGAAUAA